UGCAGCGAUUUUCCUGCUGGUCCCCUUUCAAGGGAAAAGCUAGAUGAACACAUGGCUCAGCUCAGCUGCUCUGGAGCUGCAGGACAGAAACAUUCUGUGGGAACUUGAACUUAAUCACUAGGAAGCAAGUGGACUGCGUUAGAAUGAAGCUGUAAACCCAUCUAUGAAGAUUAAUACCUUCACCUUUUGCAAAAACAUGAUUCAGACUCCCUGCUGUGUCUGAACCUACCCUGAAACCUCCAACAGAGACAGACCUUCAAAGCUAUUUAUUAGUUGCUGAUUCUGCCUUUCAGGGGAGCUGCACUGAGCAGACUCAACCUGUCAAAAGAAAGUUAACAGCAGCUGCCAGGGUGAGCCUAGUGAGAGGAUACAUGUCCUUGAGCUGCGCAUUUCCUCCCACCAACUUGAAGAGGUACAUGGGCUGCAUGGUCCAGGGAAGCCUGAUCCUGACCUAGAGAUCUCCGGUACUAGCAAGCUUGGUGAAUUCCACACCCUGACCUUCAUAGACGAAACAAGCAUGAAUAGCUCAAACCUGAGCUAUGGAUGGAAGGCUCAGCAGAAUGAGGGAGGCUUCCCACAGGUGGAGUUUACAUUCAACUCAGUCUUCCCUCCAAAAGAAAUCUGUAAUCUUAGCUUGCCUUUCCCAUUAGGA